rnacentral:lncRNA from 1 species
AUGUGCUUAUGUAUUAUGUAUGUAUUUAAAGAGCUAACACACACGGUAAAAAAAAAUUUUCUGGAGUUCCCAUUGUGGUGCAGUGGAAAUCUGAUUAGGAACCAUGCGGUUGCACGUUCGAUCCCUGGCCUCGCUUGGUGGGUUAAGGAUCCAGCAUUGGCCAUGAGCUGUGGUGUAGGUCACAGACGCAGCUCAGAUCUGGCAUUGCUGUGGCUGUGGUGUAGGUUAGCAGCUACAGCUCCAAUUGGAGGUUCCCUAGCCGUGGAACCUCCACAUGCCUCAGGUGCAGCCCUAAAAAGCAAAAAAAAAAAAAUUCAAAUAGCACCAAAGGGUGCACAGAGAAAAGUUAAUUUCCCUCUCAUUCUGCCCCCAGGUUUCUCCCCAGGCACAUGUACUGUUUCAGACCUUGGCUACCCUACAUGUCCUACGCUCAAUGGAACUGAGACAUCUAGUGUCCAGUCCCAAGAAAAACAAAUUUCCACUGAUUCUGGGUUUAAAGAAGUCACCAAAUCUGUUUUAUGAUAUCCGUGGCACUGCAUUAGCACCCUGCCUUAUGAACACUAGCUGGGGAAAGGCCACCAGGAACCACCAAGACCACUUCCUGCAGCAGAGAUCAUGGGAUCUAUUAUUUGUGUUUGAUUGUGGCCUUCGAGAGCUUCACUCCUUCACAAAACAUAACCUAGCACAGGCCCAUACACAGAGAGGCGCUUAAUGGAGUGUAGUCGAGGAGGAUGAUUCCAAUCGUUCUUCCUAGG